GGAAAAAGGAUAUAUGUAGAAGGUGUGCAGUUUCUAUCAAGGCAUUAAGCUAUCCCUAUGGCAGCACUAGAACCAAUGUUAUUCAACUUGGCAGUCUAACUUUGCUUUGGAAUUGUCAAGGACAGAACGCCACAAGAUUCAAAGUAACAGAGUUUAUUAGAUUACAGAACUCAAAAAUGCCCGUGAAACACAAGGGCCAGGCAAUUUUUGCCUUUAGGAGCAAAAAAGGGACAAAAGUAAAUGUUCAAAAGAUAAACCGGAUUAAACCGGAGUUUAAUCCGGGUAAAAACAAAACGAAAGCCAAGGAACAAAAAGAUACAAAGAAUGCAACUAAUUGGCAGCAGAUUCCUCUCUGCUGCCAGCACUGUGCUUAGAGUAACUUGCGUCGCUCCCACACACACACAGUAGACAGGAUCUCCAACACGAGCAAUUCAGCCAAGGAUUGUAGAAGUAGAGUAGACCAGUUCCGUUCCGUAGAUCAAAGCCAGAAGCAGACGUUUGUAGUUUUUUCCAAGUCCAAGAAGGGGGGAAGACAAGCCGUGGUCAGUUCAGUCCGAGUUCUCAAAGCAGGAGAUGGCGUCCGUCAGGAAGACGACGGAAGGUCAAGCUAAUAAGAGUAAGCACAGGUUUGCACAAACAAAUGCCCACACAAUCCCUCCCGCCGUCUGACCCUGGAUUCCAAUCAACUUACGUCUCAG
rnacentral:lncRNA from 11 species